UUUUCUUAGUAUAACUAGUAUGAAUGACUUCCAAUCAUUUAGUCUUGGUGAAACUCCUAGAGAAAAUG
rnacentral:tRNA from 1 species